GCAAGUCGAACGAGUUCUCGUUGAUGAUCGGUGCUUGCACCGAGAUUCAACAUGGAACGAGUGGCGGACGGGUGAGUAACACGUGGGUAACCUGCCCUUAAGUGGGGGAUAACAUUUGGAAACAGAUGCUAAUACCGCAUAGAUCCAAGAACCGCAUGGUUCUUGGCUGAAAGAUGGCGUAAGCUAUCGCUUUUGGAUGGACCCGCGGCGUAUUAGCUAGUUGGUGAGGUAAUGGCUCACCAAGGCGAUGAUACGUAGCCGAACUGAGAGGUUGAUCGGCCACAUUGGGACUGAGACACGGCCCAAACUCCUACGGGAGGCAGCAGUAGGGAAUCUUCCACAAUGGACGCAAGUCUGAUGGAGCAACGCCGCGUGAGUGAAGAAGGCUUUCGGGUCGUAAAACUCUGUUGUUGGAGAAGAAUGGUCGGCAGA
rnacentral:rRNA from 1 species